rnacentral:rRNA from 1 species
UGGGGAAUUUUGGACAAUGGGGGAAACCCUGAUCCAGCCAUCCCGCGUGUGCGAUGAAGGCCUUCGGGUUGUAAAGCACUUUUGGCAGGAAAGAAACGUCAUGGGUUAAUACCCCGUGAAACUGACGGUACCUGCAGAAUAAGCACCGGCUAACUACGUGCCAGCAGCCGCGGUAAUACGUAGGGUGCAAGCGUUAAUCGGAAUUACUGGGCGUAAAGCGUGCGCAGGCGGUUCGGAAAGAAAGAUGUGAAAUCCCAGUGCUCAACUUGGGAACUGCAUUUUUACCUACCGGUCUAGAGCGUGUGAGGGGGAGGUGGAGUUCCGCGUGUAGCAGUGAAUUGCGUAGAUAUGCGGAGGAACACCGAUGGCGAAGGCAGACUCCUGAGAUAACACUGACGCUCAUCCACGAAAGCGUGGGGAGCAAACAGG